rnacentral:lncRNA from 1 species
GGUCUUACUAUGUUUCCCAGGCUGGACUCUAACUCCUGGGCUCAAGUGGUCCUCCCACCUCAGCCUCCUGAGUAGCUGGGACUGUAGAUGCAUGCCGCCAUGACCUGCCAAAAUCAUAUUUUUGAAGACUGUGGAAAUGAUGUCAGCCAAAAAGCAAAUUCCACUGAUUUUCUUAUUCAAAUUCAAAAUGGAUCAUAAAGCAGUGGAGACAACUGACAACAUCAACAACGCAUUUGGCCCAGGAACUGCUAAUGAAUGUACAGUGCAGUGGUGUUCAAGAAGUUUUGCGGAGAUGAGACCCUUGAAGAUGAGGAGCUUGGUGGCUGGCCAUCAGAAGUUGACAACGGCCAAUUGAGAGCAAUCAUUGAAGCUGACCCUCUUACAACUACACGAGAAGUUGAGAAGAACUCAGCAUUGACCAUUCUAUGGUUGUUCGGCAUUUGAAGCAAAUUGGAAAAGUGAAAAAGCUUGGUAAGUGGGUGCCUCAUGAGCUGACCGAAAAUUUUAAAAAAAUCGUCAUUUCGAAGUGUCAUCUUCUUUUAUUCUAUGCAACAACAGC